CCAGGCCCAUUGGGGCUCCGCCUUCAAGGCUUCUUGAGUCUCCGGGUUGCUGGGUCGGGUGCAGGUCAAAGGCUUCCCGCUCACCUCCUGGAAAAUGACGGCUUCUCGCGGGCCUCGGAGGGCACCUCGUCGCCGUCCCUUCUCUUCUUGGAGCCACUUCGUUGGGAUCCUUUUGGUGACGCUCGCGCUCUGGUUACCUGCAUCCACCGAUGCCUGUGAUGAGAUACCAAGAUAUGAAUCUAUGAAAGCCAAGGGUAAUCCUGUGCCCCCUGUAAGUCCUGGGUUCGCAGUAGAAUAUGAGUGUCGCCCAGGAUACAGGCUUAUUGUUCCUCUUGUUCGUCCCACCACCACUGUUUGUCUGGCUGAUGGCACAUGGGCACCUCCUCUCCAGGAGGCUUGUACAAGAAAAUCAUGUCCACAGCUAACAGAGCCCCUAAAUGGCCGCGUAGAAGGAAGUUUUCAGUUUGGUUCACAGGCUAACUACUCUUGUAAUGAGGGCUAUAACUUAGUUGGAACACCAGUUCUACAUUGUCAACUUGCUGGAGAUGGGAAUAAUGUGGCUUGGAGUGGUGACCCCCCACAGUGUGAAAAGAUUUUGUGUCAACCACCUAAACAAAUAGAAAAUGGAAUAUUCAGCAAUAGCCACAAGGAUAUAUUUGAAUAUAAUGAAGUAGUCACUUACAGUUGUAAACCUUCGACUGGGCCAGAUGAGUAUUCACUUGUUGGAGAGAGCAGACUGAUUUGUACUGGGCCAAACAAAUGGAGUAGUAACCCUCCUGAGUGUAAAGUGGUCAAAUGUCCAUAUCCAUCACUCCCUGAUGGAACUAUUGUGUCAGGAUUUGGGAAAAAAUAUUACUACAAAGCAGAAGUUCAGUUUGAAUGCAACCAGGGUUAUUCCCUUGAAGGCAGCCGCAAAAUUGUCUGUGAAGCUAAUAAUGCCUGGGUACCCGAGAUUCCUCGCUGUGUUAAAGUGGUGACUUCUCCUCCCAGUACCACACCUCCGAUUUUGAGUCCUUCAGUGUCAACUCCUCCCAGCACAAACCCUCCAAUUUCCAGUGUCACAGGUGUCACACCUAGUCCACCAACCAAGCCUCCAGUUUCAAGUGGUCCAGGACGUCCCACUCCUGAUGAAACACCAUCUCAAUCAUUAGGUGCUGGAGCCAUUGCUGGCAUUAUUAUUGGUAUAUGUGUUUUCUUGGGACUCAUCGUUCUUUGCUGCUUUAUGUACCAUAAGAAGAAGAGGAAAGGGUUGCAGAAAAACUGAUGGGGGUUAAACUUGCUGAGAGGGCUCUCAGUUAAGAAUACUAACAAUAGGAUCCCAAAUUGGUCAGAAAUGGGCCCCAUCUCCACGUUCCUUCCUCGUCCGUCCAGUUUCCGUUCUGAGCUGAUUCCCCGCACUUUCCAGUCUGGGCGUGCACAGCCCUUGGCCUGUCCUUUGCUGCCGCUGCCGUCACGUUUUACGUGUCUUGACUGUGCGCUGCCAGCUGCCUUUUGUUUACAUUAACAUUUUCCCUUAUUUGUAGUGAAUACUUUCCUCACUGAUGCAUGGUUUGCUUUAUUCUAGUUACAUCAUUCCAGGAUAAGUACGAGUUUGCCAUGUUCAUUAGAAUUCUCUGCAUAAUUUAUGUAUUUUAAUAAUGUGACUAAAUCGUUUUGUUUUUUUACAUUAAAGAUAUUUAAUGACUUGUUAUAACAUAAACCUGUUUUUAAUAUUAGGUUAAUCAUGCCUGAUGCAGUAACUUUGUGAUUUUUAAGCCGCCUGCUUAAAUGAAUGUCACAAGGUUUGGGGGAUUAACUGUAUAUAGUGGCCAGGGCAGGUGGUUGGCAGAAUAGUGACCUGGGACACAACAGAAGGAUCAAAUGAAUGUGAACAUUUUUCUAGUUGGGUCUCAAAUUCUGGAGCAUUCAACAAACUCUUCAAAUAUUUUAAACAGAAGAUUAAGAAGAAACAAAGAUUUUGUAGUUAGUGGAGAGAGCACAUUUAUGAGAUUUAGACCCACCCCAGGGAAAUGGGAGAGGCCUUAUAACGAGUUUACAGAGAUUCUUCCCUCAGUGCAGAAGUCAGGAUGCAUCUGCAGAUGUGCAGCUUGUCAUAAAGCAGAUUUCUAAGACAGUACUACAUGCAUUUAAUAUUAUGCCGUGUGCUCCCUCAGAGCCUAAGGUGCUAGAGCCCAGGCCGUUUCUCCUCCCCACCUUGCUAUACUGUGAAAGAGUUUGUUCACUUCAGGAUCUGUAAGAUUCUAAGUUAAAGUAGCUUCUGGCACCACGCUCCUCUUUCCAGUUCCUAAGAAUCAGAAAUGUCAUGAUGUCUGGAGCUAAUUGUCAGCUUUCCUUCUGUUCGGCCCUGUCAUUGAUUUUAUCCCUGUUAUUAUGCCACUCUUCCUUAUGAUUUGUUAUCACUAUUUUAUUCAGCCCUUUUCCCUUCCUCUGUUCAGCACCUACCUAACUGGUGAGAGCCACAAAGAAGUAAAAUUUAUUUCUCUAUGAGAAGAUGAGAUGAGAGAAAGGAAAACAGAAGGCACUGCUGCCUACAGCACGUACCAGAAUAAAUCAAGCACUCCAGCACAGUAGACGCUGUGACGGACUUUCCAGAACGCUCUACCACUUCAUCUUUUUUAAAAUGUCAGGAAAGACCCACAUUAAAUUCGAUGGCUACUAUGCAAAACAGUAUGGAAGGCCCUCAAAAUUAAAACCGGAGCCACCCUAUGACCUUACGGGAAUAUAUCUGAGUGAAGGGAAAUCACUAUGUGGAAGAGAGAAUCUUCUGCCCCUCCCUGUUUGUUGCAGCCCUAUUUACAGUAACAAAGACAUGGAAGCAACCUGAAGUGCCGUCAGCCAAUCAGUGGAUAAGGGAGAUGUCUGCACGUACAGUGAAAUACUACUCAGUCAUUAAAAAGGAAAACGUAUUGGCCUUCAGGACAUUUUGCUAAGUGAAAUAAGUCAUAUAUAUAAAGAGACACAUACUGUAUGAUCUCCUUUAUAUGUAGAGUCUAUUUUAAAAAAACUCAUCAAAGAAGCAAUCAGAUUUGUGGGUGGGGUGAGAGAACUGGAUGAAGGUAGUGGUCAAAAGAUUCAAAUUUAGUUAUAAGCUAAGCACGUAUUGGAAUGUAACGUACAGCAUGGUGACUAUAACUAGUAAUACUUUAUUGCAUAUUGGCAAGUUCCUUAAAGAAUAGAUCUUAAACAUUCUGAUCAUAAGGGAAAAGAUUUUUUUGUAAUUAUGUGAGUUGAUAGAUGGUAACUAAAAUUUGCUCAUCAUUUCAUAAUAAACUUAUCAAAUCCUUACGCUGUACACCUUAAACUUAGUUAAUGUUACAUAUCAAUUACAUCUCAAUGAACUAGAAGGGGGAAAAGAUCUACAAAGGCGUUCUCUGGUUUAUUUCACUGUGAAGGCAUAAUGCUAACAUGUCUCAGUGCCACUUGAAUGUAGUCACUAUCCUUUGACCCCUCUGAAAUGGGUGUGAACUUGGGAAUGAACAGCUAGCCUGUUAUCCCUUAAAAAAACAUUUGCAUUUAUAGAGCAAUUCAACACAGUGCCCUUGGAUUAUGGUAGGGAAAUGAUGUUUUUUAUAAACUCUGAAUAUUUAGAGAAGUAUAGUUUAAAAUGAGACAUUUCAUCUAUAAAGUGUGAUUUUGCAAUGUUCAUUUCCAAAGUUAAUACCAACUUUCAAGAUUCUUUUAACAACUCUCUUAUGUGUAUUGUAGAUUCUUUAUUGUAAAAAGUCUGUACAAAUAUGUGUAUACUGCUUCAGCCCUUAAAAAUUAAAAACAAUUAUCACUGAAAACUGGGAAUUUGAGUAAGUUUGACCUCCUUAACUAAGAAUAUUAUGGGGAAGUAAUUUUACAGGGGAUGGGAUAAAUUUCUAUUUUGCAAAAUAUAUUUUAACUUCUUGGUGAUUUAGAGAAGCCAUGAAGUUAAUGUGUGGCAUUUGUUCUUCACCUUUUCUAACAUCAACAAACCAGCCUGAGAAUAACAAUUUAGGCUCAGUUGCUUACUUCUAUAAAAAGUUAGAGGGCGCUAACACUCCUAACAGGAAUGCCAGCUGUGGCCUUGUGGUUUUCUUGGGGAGAAUUCCCCUCUUUAAGAGAGAACAUAGAAUGCGCUCUGAAUUCUGGCCUAGGGGGUUUUCUCUCCAGACUUGAAUAAAAAGCUCUCUCACUUCAGUAAGUCACCUGACAGUAGUUUGUAGGGAGUAAAUCCAUCAGAUAUCCCAAGUUGCAUCAGAAUUAGUCUUUGUGUGGGUCUCACCUCACCUGCUAAAAGGCAGAGUAAACAUUAAGCCACAUAUUUCAGAAAAACAAAAACCUAAACUUUGUGCAUUGGCUGUUGGUCCUAUGCAGAGGAGAAAAACCAUGUAGCUCAGGUAUCACUUUAUGCUCAGGUGGACCAGAUCCCUCCCUCUCCGAGUCCUCACACCUGGCAGGGUCUCUUUCAAAUGAGCCAAGGGCAAAGAGGAGGAACUGCCACUCUCAUAUAUUCUUAAAGAGUUUUUAUUUACAUUUUUAUUUUUAGUGACUCAAAUUGGUCUGAAGAAAUGUUGCCCUGAGAGGGAUAUGUUUGGAAAAUCAGAGUGGACCAGAGUAAAUACUAUUUUACUUUAUAAAGUGUUCCUUCCCUUUGUAAUCUCUGGGGAGGGGCAUUUUUGAACCAAAGAUUGUUAUUCUUCCCAAAAUUAACUUUGAUAAUAGUGCUUCAAGUUUACUCUUUUUUUAAUUUUAUAUGAGAUAUAUGCAUAUAACUAUUAUGUUGUGAAAUUCUGUUACUGAAAUAUAUGGGGAAACCACUUUUCUGUAGAAAAAUUUGUUUAAAUGACAGAGGAGGAAGUAUAUUUGAAUUAAAUGUUUCUUAAAACGAGAAGAAUGUAUUUGCAUUGAAGUGGGAAGCCCCACGAAUGGAGGUCUUUAUUGCUUUUUGAAAAAUGUGUUCUUAAAAUCUGAUAAAAUAAAAUGUAGGGUGGGUUAAA